CACAAACUCAAUACAUUUUCAGUAUCCAUCAAUUUUAUUUAAUGUACCCAAUAUAAACACAAAAGUCUAAAUUUUACAAAAAAGAAAACGAAAAUAAUAUCAUUACAAAUUAUACUGUAUAACUGCUCAACUAGUACAAAAGAUAUAUAUGAACAAAAAUAUUUAUAUCAAACUAAAUUACAAAGGGUAUAAAUAAUAUACUCGUACAAAAAUCCUCAAACAGUGCUCCUCUAUCACAAGAGCAGCUCACUCUGUUGCUUUAUCCUUUUCUCUACUCGUAUAUGAGCUUUUCCUUACUUGACUCCCGUCUAGUUCCUUCCUUGGAAGGCCCUUUCUCCACUGAAACACAAAAUUAAGGUAUUUCAAUAUUUAUCCAAAUCAUGUCUAAUCAUAAUUCUAGUAAUUUCAUUUGCAUCUUAAAGUGACUUAUAAGGUCUUAUAAGUAGAGCUUCUUAUAUUCUUGGUUAUAGAGGUUACUAUUCAUUUGACUAAUCGGGUAAAAUGUUGACUUUUUCAUAUUUAAUAGGUAUACUAGUUCUAAUUCCACCCACAUACCAUAUUUUGGGCUAUAAUUGUGUUGGCAUUGAUUGCCAAUUGAAAUUCCAAACUCCCUAAAUGAAAUUCCAAAAUUUUAGUUUUGGGUCACUUGGUUCUACUAUUCCAUUGGAUCUUCUAUAGUGGAAAUUUGGCCAACUUUCCUUCAUCAAAGUUGUUC
rnacentral:misc_RNA from 1 species